GAUGAACGCUGGCGGCGUGCCUAAUACAUGCAAGUCGAGCGAAUGGAUUAAGAGCUUGCUCUUAUGAAGUUAGCGGCGGACGGGUGAGUAACACGUGGGUAACCUGCCCAUAAGACUGGGAUAACUCCGGGAAACCGGGGCUAAUACCGGAUAACAUUUUGAACCGCAUGGUUCGAAAUUGAAAGGCGGCUUCGGCUGUCACUCAUGGAUGGACCCGCGUCGCAUUAGCUGGUUGGUGAGGUAACGGCUCACCAAGGCAACGAUGCGGAGCCGACCGGGGAGGGUGAUCGGCCACACUGGGACUGAGACACGGCCCAGACUCCUACGGGAGGCAGCAGUAGGGAAUCUUCCGCAAUGGACGAAAGUCUGACGGGGCAACGCCGCGUGAGGGAUGAAGGCUUUCGGGUCGUAAAACUCUGUUGUUAGGGAAGAACAAGUGCUAGUUGAAUAAGCUGGCACCUUGACGGUACCUAACCAGAAAGCCACGGCUAACUACGUGCCAGCCGCCGCAGUAA
rnacentral:rRNA from 1 species